rnacentral:rRNA from 1 species
GGACCCGCACAAGCGGUGGAGCAUGUGGUUUAAUUCGAUGCAACGCGAAGAACCUUACCAGGGUUUGACAUCCUGCGAAUCUCUUGGAAACAGGAGAGUGCCUUCGGGAACGCAGUGACAGGUGGUGCAUGGCUGUCGUCAGCUCGUGUCGUGAGAUGUUGGGUUAAGUCCCGCAACGAGCGCAACCCACGUCUUUAGUUGCCAGCAUUCAGUUGGGCACUCUAGAGAGACUGCCGGUGAUAAACCGGAGGAAGGUGUGGAUGACGUCAAGUCAUCAUGCCCCUUACAUCCUGGGCUACACACGUACUACAAUGCUACGGACAAAGAGCAGCAAGUUCGCGAGGACAAGCAAAUCUCAUAAACCGUGGCUCAGUUCAGAUCGUAGGCUGCAACUCGCCUACGUGAAGGCGAAUCGCUAGUAAUCG